rnacentral:tRNA from 1 species
GCUGGCGUAGCUUAAUGUCAAAGCAUAGCACUGAAGAUGCUAAGAUGAACCCUAAAAAGUUCCGCAUGCA